GGGCGUAAAGAGUGCGCAGGCGGCUUUGCAAGACCGAUGUGAAAUCCCCGGGCUUAACCUGGGAACUGCAUUGGUGACUGCAAGGCUAGAGUGUGUCAGAGGGAGGUGGAAUUCCGCAUGUAGCAGUGAAAUGCGUAGAUAUGCGGAGGAACACCGAUGGCGAAGGCAGCCUCCUGGGAUAACACUGACGCUCAUGCACGAAAGCGUGGGGAGCAAACAGGAUUAGAUACCCUGGUAGUCCACGCCCUAAACGAUGUCUACUAGUUGUCGGGGAUUAAUUUCCUUGGUAACGCAGCUAACGCGUGAAGUAGACCGCCUGGGGAGUACGGUCGCAAGAUUAAAACUCAAAGGAAUUGACGGGGACCCGCACAAGCGGUGGAUGAUGUGGAUUAAUUCGAUGCAACGCGAAAAACCUUACCUACGCUUGACAUGUCCGGAACCCUGAAGAGAUUUGGGGGUGCUCGAAAGAGAGCCGGAACACAGGUGCUGCAUGGCUGUCGUCAGCUCGUGUCGUGAGAAG
rnacentral:rRNA from 1 species